GAAAAAGCCUAGCUCUUACUAUAUAUUCUCUGUUUAUUGUUUAGACAGGGAAGCUUGGCUCUUGCUAUUCAAUAGAUACAUGUGAAAACUCAAAAAAAUUUUGUCUCAAUGACAUGGACUUGACUUUGAGGCUCAAAAGUCUACUUUAAAACAACAGCAACAAGUAUGCUCAGUAGAUUCCUUGUAUUACUACUGUAAGAACUCUACCCCGAGGGCA
rnacentral:lncRNA from 1 species